GUGUUGGCUAAAAGGAGUCAGGGGCAUGACAGCAUUUAUAGAAGGCAUGAGCUCAAAUGUCAGUAGAGCAUCCAAAAAUGGAUGAAGCAUCAUCCAGCCACUGCCAUCUGUUGAGUGUUUCAUGACAGCUGUAUCUCCUGACCAGAGCUGGUGCAGAUAAUCAUGAAAGGCACAGAGGAAGCAUACAGCAGUUGUACAGAGAUAGGGGAGGGGGAAAUUCCACCUUUCACAUUGUUUUUAAUUGUACCAUAAUGAUUUUUUAACAGACACCAUGGUAUGUAGCUUAGACUGAGAGCUGAUUUAAAGCAAACAAUAAACCACAGUGCAGCUGAAAAGCAAUUGAAAAUUCCUCUGCAAGAAGGUUUUGUCCAGGCUAAGUAUUUAAUAGUGUUUUUCCCAGAAACUUUGCCCUAAAGAUACUCCUGCCAUAAUAAAAAAUAAUAAAACUGCUUUGACUGUUGUACAUCUACAAGACUAUCAAAGCAUAUAUUCUUGUUAAUGACUAACUAAUGUGAAUGUGGGGUUUUAAAACAUUCUUUCCCUUAAAGAGGAGAGAAUUUUUGGCUGUCAAAUUUGAAGUACUAACCCUAUAAGCAGAAUUUAAGCUUUAUACCAGCUAAAACAUUAAAUGACUGUGGAAUAAAUCAUUCUAGUUUUUCUAUUGUUUUUUCUAGUGUAUGGAUCUACCAUCUCACCCAAGGCAUACAAAAAUGACAUCUGACUUUUGUUUCUGAUACAACCUCUCGUAAGCUGGGGAGCCUUCUAUAUGAACUGGCAACCUGGACAAGUCAUGAAAUCAAUGGCAAAGGCAGUAGCAAAGGAGGCCCCUCUUGCAUGGCAACUGAGAACUUGGACUGGAGAGCCUGAAUACUCAGAACAUCACAUUGUACACACCAGGCUUUUGGGGCCCUCUGGGUUCCUGAGUGUAACACUAGGAGCCAGAAAACAUGGAAGCUGUGUCUGUGUGUGUGCAUAAGCGCACACAUGUGUAUCUACAUAAAUAUACUAUGUGCAUAAGUAGUAUACUGUUUUCAUUUAAAUGAUCUGUUUCAAUUACAGUCCUUUUGUUCUGUUUCUGUAAAUAAAAACACAUGCUAACAUUUGAAUAAUCUGUAAUAGUCUGAAUCCUGCCAUGUCCUGUUUGUACCAUAGAUAGUAAUGAGACUUCUCUUGUAAGAAUCCAGUUUGAAUAUUGGAAAUUAAGUUCUCUUUUCAGCAGUACUUUUAUGCAAAGUAACAAGCAUCCUUUUGUGGUCUGUGCACAAGCACGGAUUUUUCCACCCCAUUAAAAGAACAUUCAAAAAGAAAUCUGCCCCUCCCAGAAAUGGAACAAAAACAGAUCCUUUAUUUAAAUAAUGAUAGUAAUGUUAUGAAAACAGGGAAAGCCUAAUUGAUCUGUAUAUACCAACCCAAAUGCUACUGUGAGGAGAAGCUGAUGAAGCAGUAAAUGUCAACCAGGUUGCAGAAGUGUAAAUUACGACAGAAAAUGGCAAUCCGCUUUUAAUUUUUCUGUUCCUGGUCUUCAGUCCAGAUGAUGCACGAUAGUGUUAUAAAUGAAGUCUCAACUCAAUCUGAAUUUAGUAAUAUUGAUACUUAUAGAAGGUAUAAAAGGCAAGUAAACAGUGCUGGGUGUGCGGGGAGUCUACGCUCCACCAAUACACACACACGAACAUCAAACAUUCUAAAUAUACAGAACAUUGCUUCUACAUACUAAACCCGAGUAUGCCUAUACAAUCAGGAAAGGUAACAAACAAUCCUUUAAGUUCCAUGACUUAACAGUCUCCAUUUUCCAUUCCUUUUCUUGAUUACAAACAAGUCUCCAUUUUCCAUUCCUUUUCAACAAUAUGUCUUGCUUUAAAUUGUCAAGCAACUCGGUCUUCAGGCCUUAUGUAUCCCGUUCUUCCCGGAUCAAAGAAAAGCAUAUCCAUCUCCUUUUCAAGGCCAAUAGGGCCUGGGUCAAAAGGCACGUUCAGGUCACCAGGGGGCGUAACAGCAAAGGCCUUCGAUGGCAGUAGCGGGGGGGGGNNNNNNNNNNUGCAACCUUGUUGUUUUUAGUAGCAGAGUCCCACACCUUGACCUCAAUUUGGUCCCAUGUUUCAGGAUCAUAAACUGUCUGACUGUUAAUAAGGAGAAUAAGCUGUAAGUUUACCAGGGCAGUCUUCGUUUCUAAGGACGUAUGAUUCCCCAUAACGCCCGGCUGCUUAGCGGCGAGGGGCAGUUGUGUGCGCGGGUCUGCUUCUCUCAGCUUGAGCUUCUUCCCAGCUCCGGUGCGCCUGUUUCCAGCGACUUUCUGUAAGAGAUUCUCUGAGCAGUUUGCUGAGUUUGGCCAAACCUCUUCAUGAGGCAAUCAAUGUGCCUGUUCCCGUCCUGGUCUCCAUUCUGCCAGCCUGUUCCUUUUAAUUCCUUCUUUCUGCUUCUUUAUUGAUGACAUAUCAUCAUCGUGUUGUCUUUUUUUAUCUUGAGGGCAGGCUCCCCUCUUAUACCCUUCUCUCCACAGCAGUUCUUUUCAAAACAACUUUUCAUUGGUCAAACAACUUUCCAUAAAACAGCAACAGCAAACACCCAGAAACUUCCAUGCCCUGGAGAACAAGAAACCGAGACUGCAUGGAGUCUCCUGAAUCACCCGUCUUUGCUCCCUCUAAACUCUUUCAUAUUCCUGAUGGCCUCAUCGUUAAGAGUCUAAUGUUAUCUCAACCACGGGGCUUUCCAACUCCCAUGGCCACACUCUCAAAUCUCCCCCUUCUUUAUUAAUAUCAACCAUUUUCUCGACACGAAUUACCACUCCAUAUAUAACAAUAGCCUACCUUGAUCUGUGCUCAGUGCAGUGUCUAUCCAUGGUGUGGAAGUCAGAGGGAGACGCAGCAUUAGUUUUCGCGUUCUGCCUGUUAACAGUUUGCAUACAGGGUUAUAACCUACCUUUGCAUAACUUUUACUAAUUUGAGGAGAAUGGCAUUUUAUUUAACGUGUGCAUAUAAUAAAAAUAAAUGAAUAAUAGGAGACUGAGCAGAACAAGCACAAAACACUAAUAUCUGUCUUUCCUGCAGUUCCAG
rnacentral:lncRNA from 1 species